rnacentral:tRNA from 1 species
GCCGAGGUGGCGGAAUUGGUAGACGCACUAGUUUCAGGGACUAGCGCCGCAAGGCGUAGGGGUUCAAGUCCCCUCCUCGGCACCA